UCUCAUGGAGAGUUCGAUCCUGGCUCAGGAUGAACGCUGGCGGCGAUGCUUAACACAUGCA
rnacentral:precursor_RNA from 1 species